rnacentral:rRNA from 1 species
UACAGGGGGCUCGAGCGUUAGUCGGAAUCACUGGGCUUAAAGGGUGCGUAGGCGGCUCGCCAAGUGCGUUGUGAAAUCCCACAGCUCAACUGUGGAACAGCAGGGCAAACUGGCGAGCUUGAGGCAGGUAGGGGCCGGAAGAACAGUUGGUGGAGCGGUGAAAUGCGUAGAUAUCAACUUGAAUGCCGAUGGGGAAGCCGUCCGGCUGGGCCUGUCCUGACGCUGAGGCACGAAAGCGUGGGGAGCAAACAGG